rnacentral:misc_RNA from 1 species
UUUCCGUAGGUGAACCUGCGGAAGGAUCAUUACUGAAGUGAGUCUUCAUCAUUGAAGCUUCUUCCCAUUGUGCUGGCUUUGACCGUAUGUAAUGUUGGGAAUUAAACAUGGCUGAAAUUUAUUUUAGCCGUCCCCAACAAUUUAUCUUAUCCUUUAUUAAAUUGAACUGAACUCAUUUUGAGAUUACAUAAAAAAUAAUCUUUUAAUACAACUUUCAACAACGGAUCUCUUGGUUCUG